AACGAACGCUGGCGGCGUGCUUAACACAUGCAAGUCGAACGCGAAAGUUUUCUUCGGAAAGCGAGUAGAGUGGCGCACGGGUGAGUAACGCGUAAGUAAUCUACCCUGGCAUCUGGGAUAACCCACCGAAAGGUGUGCUAAUACCGGAUACGUUGAUUUAUCAAGAAAGGUGGCCUCUAUUUAUAAGCUACUGUGCCGGGAGGAGCUUGCGUACCAUUAGCUAGUUGGUGGGGUAAUGGCCUACCAAGGCGACGAUGGUUAGCGGGUCUGAGAGGAUGAUCCGCCACACUGGAACUGGAACACGGACCAGACUCCUACGGGAGGCAGCAGUGAGGAAUAUUGCGCAAUGGGGGAAACCCUGACGCAGCGACGCCGCGUGGAUGAUGAAGGUUUUCGGAUCGUAAAAUCCUGUCAGAUGGGAAGAAAUGCAUAUCUAUUAAUACUAUUUAUGUUUGACGGUACCAUCAAAGGAAGCACCGGCUAACUCCG
rnacentral:rRNA from 1 species